UUACUCCUCCCACAAAUUCAGGCCUAAUGGCCUUUCUACAUAUAUAUAUAUAUAUAUAUAUAUAUAUAUAUAUAUAUAUAUAUAUAUAUAUAAAUAUAUGUAUUAAGGCAGUUUUGCCUGUAUUUGUGGGAGGGGCUU